GGGUUGUGAGGUUAAGCGACUAAGCGUACACGGUGGAUGCCCUGGCAGUCAGAGGCGAUGAAGGGCGUGCUAAUCUGCGAUAAGCGCCGGUAAGGUGAUAUGAACCGUUAUAACCGGCGAUACCCGAAUGGGGAAACCCAGUGUGACUCGUCACACUAUCAUUAACUGAAUCCAUAGGUUAAUGAGGCGAACCGGGGGAACUGAAACAUCUAAGUACCCCGAGGAAAAGAAAUCAACCGAGAUUCCCCCAGUAGCGGCGAGCGAACGGGGAGGAGCCCAGAGCCUGAAUCAGCAUGUGUGUUAGUGGAAGCGUCUGGAAAGGCGCGCGAUACAGGGUGACAGCCCCGUACACAAAAGCGCAUGUGCUGUGAGCUCGAUGAGUAGGGCGGGACACGUGGUAUCCUGUCUGAAUAUGGGGGGACCAUCCUCCAAGGCUAAAUACUCCUGACUGACCGAUAGUGAACCAGUACCGUGAGGGAAAGGCGAAAAGAACCCCGGCGAGGGGAGUGAAAAAGAACCUGAAACCGUGUACGUACAAGCAGUGGGAGCCCCACCACUAAGCCAGUGGUGAACUCCACAUACGCAUCCUUUGCUGAGGAUACGGUUAACGGAGCGAAAGCGACGUUCAACCGCAAAAGAAGCAGAGGGGGCUUAGUGGUGGGGUGACUGCGUACCUUUUGUAUAAUGGGUCAGCGACUUAUAUUCUGUAGCAAGGUUAACCGUAUAGGGGAGCCGGAGGGAAACCGAGUCUUAAUUGGGCGUUAAGUUGCAGGGUAUAGACCCGAAACCCGGUGAUCUAGCCAUGGGCAGGUUGAAGGUUGGGUAACACUAACUGGAGGACCGAACCGACUAAUGUUGAAAAAUUAGCGGAUGACCUGUGGCUGGGGGUGAAAGGCCAAUCAAACCGGGAGAUAGCUGGUUCUCCCCGAAAGCUAUUUAGGUAGCGCCUCGUGAAUUCAUCUCCGGGGGUAGAGCACUGUUUCGGCUAGGGGGCCAUCCCGGCUUACCAACCCGAUGCAAACUGCGAAUACCGGAGAAUGUUAUCACGGGAGACACACGGCGGGUGCUAACGUCCGUCGUGAAGAGGGAAACAACCCAGACCGCCAGCUAAGGUCCCAAAGUCAUGGUUAAGUGGGAAACGAUGUGGGAAGGCCCAGACAGCCAGGAUGUUGGCUUAGAAGCAGCCAUCAUUUAAAGAAAGCGUAAUAGCUCACUGGUCGAGUCGGCCUGCGCGGAAGAUGUAACGGGGCUAAACCAUGCACCGAAGCUGCGGCAGCGACACUCAGGUGUUGUUGGGUAGGGGAGCGUUCUGUAAGCCUGUGAAGGUGGCCUGUGAGGGUUGCUGGAGGUAUCAGAAGUGCGAAUGCUGACAUAAGUAACGAUAAAGCGGGUGAAAAGCCCGCUCGCCGGAAGACCAAGGGUUCCUGUCCAACGUUAAUCGGGGCAGGGUGAGUCGACCCCUAAGGCGAGGCCGAAAGGCGUAGUCGAUGGGAAACGGGUUAAUAUUCCCGUACUUGGUGUUACUGCGAAGGGGGGACGGAGAAGGCUAUGUUGGCCGGGCGACGGUUGUCCCGGUUUAAGCGUAUAGGUGUGUGUUCCAGGUAAAUCCGGUUCACUUUAACACUGAGGCGUGAUGACGAGGCGCUACGGUGCUGAAGCAACAAAUGCCCUGCUUCCAGGAAAAGCCUCUAAGCAUCAGGUAACAUCAAAUCGUACCCCAAACCGACACAGGUGGUCAGGUAGAGAAUACCAAGGCGCUUGAGAGAACUCGGGUGAAGGAACUAGGCAAAAUGGUGCCGUAACUUCGGGAGAAGGCACGCUGACAUGUAGGUGAAGUGAUUUACUCAUGGAGCUGAAGUCAGUCGAAGAUACCAGCUGGCUGCAACUGUUUAUUAAAAACACAGCACUGUGCAAACACGAAAGUGGACGUAUACGGUGUGACGCCUGCCCGGUGCCGGAAGGUUAAUUGAUGGGGUCAGCGCAAGCGAAGCUCCUGAUCGAAGCCCCGGUAAACGGCGGCCGUAACUAUAACGGUCCUAAGGUAGCGAAAUUCCUUGUCGGGUAAGUUCCGACCUGCACGAAUGGCGUAAUGAUGGCCAGGCUGUCUCCACCCGAGACUCAGUGAAAUUGAACUCGCUGUGAAGAUGCAGUGUACCCGCGGCAAGACGGAAAGACCCCGUGAACCUUUACUAUAGCUUGACACUGAACAUUGAGCCUUGAUGUGUAGGAUAGGUGGGAGGCUUUGAAGUGUGGACGCCAGUCUGCAUGGAGCCGACCUUGAAAUACCACCCUUUAAUGUUUGAUGUUCUAACGUGGACCCGUGAUCCGGGUUGCGGACAGUGUCUGGUGGGUAGUUUGACUGGGGCGGUCUCCUCCUAAAGAGUAACGGAGGAGCACGAAGGUUGGCUAAUCCUGGUCGGACAUCAGGAGGUUAGUGCAAUGGCAUAAGCCAGCUUGACUGCGAGCGUGACGGCGCGAGCAGGUGCGAAAGCAGGUCAUAGUGAUCCGGUGGUUCUGAAUGGAAGGGCCAUCGCUCAACGGAUAAAAGGUACUCCGGGGAUAACAGGCUGAUACCGCCCAAGAGUUCAUAUCGACGGCGGUGUUUGGCACCUCGAUGUCGGCUCAUCACAUCCUGGGGCUGAAGUAGGUCCCAAGGGUAUGGCUGUUCGCCAUUUAAAGUGGUACGCGAGCUGGGUUUAGAACGUCGUGAGACAGUUCGGUCCCUAUCUGCCGUGGGCGCUGGAGAACUGAGGGGGGCUGCUCCUAGUACGAGAGGACCGGAGUGGACGCAUCACUGGUGUUCGGGUUGUCAUGCCAAUGGCACUGCCCGGUAGCUAAAUGCGGAAGAGAUAAGUGCUGAAAGCAUCUAAGCACGAAACUUGCCCCGAGAUGAGUUCUCCCUGAGACUUUAGGUCUCCUGAAGGAACGUUGAAGACGACGACGUUGAUAGGCCGGGUGUGUAAGCGCAGCGAUGCGUUGAGCUAACCGGUACUAAUGAACCGUGAGGCUUAACCUUACAACGCCGAAG
rnacentral:rRNA from 2 species